rnacentral:lncRNA from 1 species
UGAAUGAAUUAUGGGUUAAUCAACUUCCAUGAUGCUUUAUGGGUUACAAAAUGUUUUCAUACAUCAUUACAACCUAAGUAUCCUUAUGGAAGCAUUGGGACAUUCCAGGUAUAACCUAACUUUCAGAUUUGGACUGAUGUUCCUGGUUAUAGAGUCUGGAUAUAUUAAGAAAGUGUUGUUUGUGCUUGUAUUUUUCCAUUAGAAAGGAUAUGCUCGAGAGCCCAUUUCAGAACUUAGCAAGAAAAUCAGCUAGUUAAUGCCACAAGAGACUUUAACAUACCUGGAUGUGUUUAAGAGUUGAACAUUACACUUAGUGACACUUGUUUUAAUGAACACCUUAAUUUUUUUCACAUCCCAUGAAGUGUUGCAGGACUUGUGGCAAAAUGUGAGAUCCCUGUGCUAGGCGCAGCUAGGAAAUAUGAAUAGCUGUUAAAUGAUAACCACUUGUCCCUAUCUCAAGGCAAUGAUCGCUAGUCAUAUGGUCCACUCCGGCUCUCAGGCCCUUUAUUCUCCUUCCUCAGCAUGCCUAUGGUGCACAAUGGGUGAAGAAUUUGGCUUCUUUUCCAGUUAAUUAACCCCAAUGCUAAUGCUCCUCUUCUAUCCUUGGUUAAUUCAGAGCAACCUCCAGCUGUCUGCCUGCUGUCUAUUCAGAAGCUUUUGGUGAUGAAGACAGAGUCUAUGGGAAGAAAGAGGCUGCAUACAUUCACCUGUGCAGGCAUCCCUUUUCCUGGUGCGCAAGGAGGGGCUGUAGGGAGGAUCAGAGGGGCUCUACAAGGCACUGUCAGACCCUAGAUGCCUGCAACUGAUGAAAGCCUUAGGUUUCUCCUGGCCAUCUUCCUAAGUUUAUUCUACAGAUUCAGACAAUGCAUCAUCGACCUCAGCAGUAGGAGCGGAGCCAAGCAAGCUGCAAUCUAAUAUGGAAAUGUGUCCUGGCCACGAUGAGGAUCUAAUUCAAACAAGAUUGUUAGGAAGAGUUAUUUCUUCAGCUCGAUUGAAAAUUCCUAUCUGCCCAAGAAUUCGUGUUCUGAUUUGGAAAGCUCUGCUUCUGCUGGCUGGAUGGAGGAAGAGGACACGUGGCGGGCAGGACAGGCUUGCUUUCACGUUCCACGUGAUUUUCCUUCUGGGUCUGGAGACCAGUUUCCUAGUGACCAUACAUUUGUUAGAACGCUGCUUGCUUCGACUGCCCCAUACCAAUUGCUUCGUCUCUCCUGUCAGAAUUCUGAAAGCAGAGAGCACUCCAGAAUUUAAUCCACGGCCAAACGCCAUAUCCAGAAGCACGUUAUGGAAGGGCCCUAAUUUUUUUGAUUGCCACUUAAUUUGUUAACUAGCCAGUCUCUCUCAUCUUCCUUCUCCUGGACUCUGCUGCUUCUGAGUCUGGAGUUAUUAGAGUUUCUGUGGGGAAACUCACCUGGACACAGGAAGUUCUCUCUUUUAUCUGAAGUGGCUGUAGGUUUUUCAGUUGUAUUUUCCCUCUCUCUGUUAUAUAUUUGAGAAAUUUUUCUCUGUGCUGGUCUGCUGGUGCUGUACUUUCCAGUGCUGCUGUGUAUUUAAUUUUUUAAUCUCUCCCUGCAUUUUAAUAGAAUUUUGGGAGAGAGUGGUGGCCGCGCAUGACCUCAGCUGUCUUGAACUAGAAGUCUUCCUCUAUUCUAUUUUACAGGACUUAUUUCUAGCUCAAUUAUAACUAUACCUGUACUUAACAGAACAGAAUUUAGCUGCAGCACUGUCCGCACUUGCACCCAGUGGCCUGCAAACACAUGUAUAAUGAAAUAGGAUUAAUCGCAUAAAAUACUAGGGCUCUGUACUUAGGAUGUGUAACGGUGGCCCUGCCCAUCCAUUCCACAUUUCCUAACUCAACGUUGAGGAAAAUCCUACUUUUUGUCUAAGCUUAUUAUGGGGUAUGAGGCGCAUUAAGAAGAGUUAUCCAAUUCUUGUCUCUUCUUUAUUUUUGAAUAUGGUUUAAGUAACUUCUAUUAAUUUCUUUUGUAUUUUAGUAGGAAAUUGUUAUUAAAAAAUCCACGAAAGCUUAUGGUGCUAAUAGCCUUCUUAAGAAUUCUUUUGUGCAAUGAACAUCACACGUUAUUCUCCAGACAGUCAUUGAGUCUAUGGCUGAAAAAUACUGAGCCUUUUGCUUAAUGCUAGCAUUUAUUGCAUCUUUUUCUAAAACAUCAUUAUCGUCGGCCCAAAGCUAAUUUUUCAAGUGAAGGAAUGUGUUGUAAAGAUAAAGAGGAGAAAUGCAAAUAUUUUCUUACUACAACUUGCUAAUUUGCAAUAGAAUUGCAUUAGAACAGAAAAUUCCUAAAUAUGUAUUUGUGAAUAUCAGUUACAGUACUCGGAAUCUUGUACUAUGAUCACAUGACAAAUCUAUUUCUGUUUUAUUACCAUGACAAUUAACCACUUAGAGAUUUAUUCUGUUUUUGUCCUUCUUUUCCAUAUUUUGUCAGGUGGAUGGAAGUUGCUCAGUGUAAACCUAGAAUUCAAAUAUCUGACCGAGAGAAGAAAUGCUGUGCUUUAAAUUGGCCAGCGUGGCAAGGCAGAGACGUCCUAGAGGGUUACAGAUGAUAUCAAUCACUUGCUAGACUCCUGACUAAUUUAAUCUCCUUCUUGCCAUGUUGUCCCAUCAGCCUAACACUGCAUGACCUGUCAGAGUCUCUGCCACAGUGUGACUGGGCUAGAGAUGAAACAAUUUGUUCAGCCGAACUGAUGUGGCUACCCUCUGAGUCAGGUUUUGUAAUAACUCAGCUGGGCUUGGUUGAAGUUACUUUUAUUAUGGUCUAUAAGGAAGAUGUUUGAUUAGCAAAUUAGAGGUAGCAUGAAUUCAGCACCUAUUCUGGGUCAGCCACUGUUUUCAGCAUUUUACACGAUUAUCUCAUUUAAUCCCCGUGUCAGCGCUAUGAGGCAGGUGCUACCAUUAGGUGAAAUAUACAAAUGAGAAAACUGAGGGCCAGAGAGAGGAAGUCACCUGCCCAAGGUAACACAGAUGGAAAGCAAGGGAGCCAAGAUCUGCACCCACGUGGUGUGAAUCCAGAGUCCAUGCUUAUAUAACCCCUUACUUUACAACAAUAACACAGUUUUUGUUUAGAAUUCUAGGACUAUGUAUUAACUAUAUAUGCAUACAUAAAUAUAAUUAACAGCCUGAAUAACAAAUGAAUUGUAUCUUAUUUAUUAAUUGAAGAAUAUGUAUACCUAAAUAUUUUAUUGAACUAAUUCAGCUUGUUUAUAGGCUUGAGAGAAAAUAAAG